rnacentral:tRNA from 1 species
GGCCUCGUAACUCAUCUGGGAGAGCGUGCACGUACAAAACAAAGGCGGCGUACAUGCGUGGGUUCGAAUCCCACCGAGGCUA